ACUCAACAUUAAUUUAGUUUAAAAAGGGUGAGUUUAAGUUGUAAAAGCAGGCCUUACUUGUAUAAGGAUUCUUGAUCAGCUUGGUAGCCCUAAACCUGUUUACUGGAGUUU
rnacentral:sRNA from 1 species